rnacentral:rRNA from 1 species
CGGGGGAGCAAGCGUUGUUCGGAUUUACUGGGCGUAAAGGGCGCGUAGGCGGCGUAACAAGUCACUUGUGAAAUCUCCGGGCUUAACCCGGAGCGGCCAAGUGAUACUGUUGUGCUAGAGUGCGGAAGGGGCUACUGGAAUUCUCGGUGUAGCGGUGAAAUGCGUAGAUAUCGAGAGGAACACCUGCGGCGAAGGCGGGUAGCUGGGCCGACACUGACGCUGAGGCGCGAAAGCCAGGGGAGCGAACGGGAUUAGAUACCCCGGUAGUCCUGGCCUUAAACGAUGGAUGCUUGGUGUCCGAGGUUACAUAGUCCUCGGGUGCCGGCGCUAACGCAUUAAGCAUCCCGCCUGGGGAUACGGUCGCAAGACUG